ensembl:snRNA U6 U6 spliceosomal RNA
GUGGUCACUUUAGCACACAUAUACUAAAUUUAGAACAUUACAGAGAAUAUUAGCAUCACACCUCAAUAACGGAAUGCAAAUUCAUAAAGAUUUCCAUAUUUUU